GACGAACGCUGACGGCGUGCUUUAGACAUGCAAGUCGAACGAGAAAGCCCUUCGGGGUGAGUAAAGUGGCGAACGGGUGAGUAACACGUGGGUAACCUGCCCCUCGCAGAGGGAUAACCGGGGGGAAACCCCAGCUAAUACCUCGUACGCUUGCCGGGUCGCAUGGCUCGGCCAGGAAAGGUAGCUUCGGCCAUCCGGCGAGGGAUGGGCCCGCGGUCCAUUAGCUAGUUGGUGGGGUAACGGCCCACCAAGGCGACGAUGGAUAGCUGGUCUGAGAGGAUGAUCAGCCACACUGGGACUGAGACACGGCCCAGACUCCUACGGGAGGCAGCAGUCGGGAAUCUUGCGCAAUGGGCGAAAGCCUGACGCAGCAACACCGUGUGGGCGACGAAGGCCUUCGGGUCGUAAAGCCCUGUUGUUGGGGACGAAGGACGAAGGGUUAAUAGCCCCUAGUCUGACGGUACCCUUCGAGGAAGCCCCGGCUAACUACGUGCCAGCCGCCGCAGUAACAC
rnacentral:rRNA from 1 species